rnacentral:sRNA from 1 species
GGGACAUCCCUUGGGCUAGAGCACUGGACAAUGGAUUGGCAAGGACGCCUACCAUGGGCUGGCUGCACUGGGAGCGCUUCAUGUGCAACCUUGACUGCCAGGAAGAGCCAGAUUCCUGCAUCAGUGAGAAGCUCUUCAUGGAGAUGGCAGAGCUCAUGGUCUCAGAAGGCUGGAAGGAUGCAGGUUAUGAGUACCUCUGCAUUGAUGACUGUUGGAUGGCUCCCCAAAGAGAUUCAGAAGGCAGACUUCAGGCAGACCCUCAGCGCUUUCCUCAUGGGAUUCGCCAGCUAGCUAAUUAUGUUCACAGCAAAGGACUGAAGCUAGGGAUUUAUGCAGAUGUUGGAAAUAAAACCUGCGCAGGCUUCCCUGGGAGUUUUGGAUACUACGACAUUGAUGCCCAGACCUUUGCUGACUGGGGAGUAGAUCUGCUAAAAUUUGAUGGUUGUUACUGUGACAGUUUGGAAAAUUUGGCAGAUGCCCAAUUAUACAGAAAUCCGACAGUACUGCAAUCACUGGCGAAAUUUUGCUGACGUUGAUGAUUCCUGGAAAAGUAUAAAGAGUAUCUUGGACUGGACAUCUUUUAACCAGGAGAGAAUUGUUGAUGUUGCUGGA